AACCCUUGUGUGGUGUUUGGGUCUGUGGGACCAGUUUUCAAUGUUGACUAUGCUAAAAGAAAAAUUAUGCUAUUUAUUAUUUCUUCUGACUCAAACUCAUUGGCCUUGGCUAAUUUUCU